rnacentral:rRNA from 1 species
AGAGUUUGUAUCCUGGCUCAGGAUGAACGCUGGCGGCGUGCUUAACACAUGCAAGUCGAACGGACCCAUAUUGAAACCUAGUGAUAUAUGGGUUAGUGGCGGACGGGUGAGUAACGCGUGGGUAACCUGCCUUACACAGGGGGAUAACACUUAGAAAUAGGUGCUAAAACCGCAUAAGCGCACAGCUUCGCAUGAAGCGGUGUGAAAAACUCCGGUGGUGUAAGAUGGACCCGCGUCUGAUUAGCUUGUUGGCGGGGUAACGGCCCACCAAGGCGACGAUCAGUAGCCGGCCUGAGAGGGCGGACGGCCACAUUGGGACUGAGACACGGCCCAGACUCCUACGGGGAGGCAGCAGUGGGGAAUAUUGCACAAUGGGGGAAACCCUGAUGCAGCGACGCCGCGUGAGUGAAGAAGUAAUUCGUUACGUAAAGCUCUAUCAGCAGGGAAGAAAAUGACGGUACCUGAGUAAGAAGCCCCGGCUAACUACGUG